UCCGAAUUGUAAUUUGUAGAGGAUGAUUUUGGUGCGGUACCUUCCGAGUUCCUUGGAACAGGACGCCUUAGAGGGUGAGAGCCCCGUACGGUUGGAUGCCUAGCCUUUGUAAAUCUCCUUCGACGAGUCGAGUAGUUUGGGAAUGCUGCUCUAAAUGGGAGGUAAAUUUCUUCUAAAGCUAAAUAUUGGCCAGAGACCGAUAGCGCACAAGUAGAGUGAUCGAAAGAUGAAAAGCACUUUGAAAAGAGGGUUAAAUAGCACGUGAAAUUGUUGAAAGGGAAGGAUUUAUGACCAGACUUUUUCUAGGCGGAUCAUCCGGUGUUCUCACCGGUGCACUUUGUCUAGUUUAGGCCAGCAUCGAUUUUCGGCAGCGGAUAAAAGCUUCAGGAAUGUGGCUCCUCCGGGAGUGUUAUAGCCUGUUGUAUAAUACGCCGCUGGGGAUCGAGGUACGCGCUUCUGCAAGGAUGCUGGCGUAAUGGUUAUCAAUCACCCGUCUUGAAACACGGACCANGGAGUCGAACAUUUAUGCGAGUGUUUGGGUGUUAAACCCUCACGCGUAAUGAAAGUGAACGGAGGUGAGAGCCCUUACGGGUGCAUCAUCNACCGAUCCUGAUGUUUUCGGAUGGAUUUGAGUAAGAGCAUAACUGU
rnacentral:rRNA from 1 species